GCCUCUCUUCCGAAGCACAUCCCUGUCUCUUCUCCGUGGUUGUGCAUGGAGGGGCCGAUGGAGGCAGGCCGUACUGGCGACCAGCUUUUUAACAGCGCCCGCCCGGCCUCAGAACCGCCCAGAGAGGAGCCGCCCUGGACGGACAGAGGGCUGAGGGCCGAGCAUCCAGCUGGUCGUCCGGCUGCCCAGCAGUCUCCGACGCCGCGGCUGUCCGUCCGCUGCCCGCCUGCCUGGCAUCUCUUGAUCCUCCCGUUUGAAAUAACUUUGGACCUACAGAAGAGCUGUAAAGACAGCACAAAGAGUCCUGUAUACCCUUCACCCGGCUUCCUCUAAUGUCCUUUGCUUUUUCCAGGAUCCAAGCCAGAUACCACAUUGCUUUUAGUUGUCCUGUCUCCGUCUCCUCCCCCUGUGACAGUUCCUCAGGUAAGCUUUCCUUGUGUUUCAUGACCUUGACAUUUUUGAAGAGCACUUGUCAGGCAUUUUGUAGAAUAUCCCUCAAUGUGCGUUUUUCUCAUAUUUUCUCAGUAUUAGACUGAAGGUAUGGGCUUUGGGGGGUUGUCCUACUCUUUGCAUCAUGUUAGGGGAUACAUAAUAGUGACAUUGAUGACGUCAAUGUGAUAUUGGUGAUGUCAGGAGUGAUCAGUGGUCACUGGGUUAAGGUGGUGUUGGCCACAUCCUCCACUGUCAAGAUUCCAUUUUCCUUUUUCCUUCUCUGUCAGAAGUGAAUCACUGAGUCUAGCUCGCAGAGGAGAGGGAAAUUAAGCACCACCUCCAGCACCACAGGAUUUAUGCUAGAUGUUCCCCAUUGCAUAUCGGUCAUUCCUUUCUCUGACAGUGAGAAGCCUGGCUCUUGUUAUCAAGAGUAUAUUUACCUAUUUGUCCAAACUGAGUGUACAUGUAAAGUAGUCUCAGAAUUGCUAAGCUAUGCCUUAUGAGAAACCAGUUUACCACCCCGCGUACAGUAUUUGUGCGGUUAUUUUUGUCUUUAGCAUUAUAGUAUCAGGUAAAAACAUCAUGUGUGAAGUUAUUUGGGUCAGGUCAUUUCUUCUCCACCCAUUUUAGUGCCUUUAAAACCUUUCUUUUAGGGAGGAAAAGGGAGAGAGGGAGAGAGAGAGAGAGAGAGAGAGAGAGAGAGAGAGAGAGAGAACCAUCAAUCGGCUGCCUCCUGCAUGCACCCCGACUGGGGAUCCAAUCUAAAACCUGGGUAUGUGCCCUACUGGGAAUCGAACCCGCCACUUUUUGGUGAACAGGCUAAUGCUCCAACUAACUGAGCCACACUGGGCAGGGAUUUAGUGUCUUUACUAGCAUGUCAUACAUUUGUUAUUUACAUUUACCCUAACUAUUUCAUAUUUUAUGGUCUUAUUUUAAAUGAUAUGUAAAAUUUUCUUAUUGUUUUUGCUAGUAUAUAGAAAUAUACUUAUAACCUUGCUAAGCUCACUUAUUUUUUUAGUAGAUUUUUUUUGUAGAUUAUUUAGGAUUUUCUGUAGAGGUGAU